AAAAUUACCGGGCAGGGGUGAUGCCAUUAGAGCGUGACCACAUUAGGCAUACGGUUUUCACAGGGCAGUGCUUAUCUCCUGCUCUCCAGGUAGGCUUAUCUCUGCUAUUUUCUCCCAGAUGAAGGAAAUUUGCUGUGUAAUUUGUGGUAGUGGGGAUUGCAUUCAUGCUCUCCCCU
rfam:Colinus virginianus strain Texas jcf7180006227039, whole genome shotgun sequence.